CCUGAAGGAGCACCCCUGAGGAGCAGGCCUCAGGGGACAUUCCUGCCUCCGAGGGAGGAGCUGCUGCAAAUGUGGUUUGACCUGCUCUCUGCCCUCAGCCUCCAAUGAGGUGGAACAGCCCUGAGUGUAGUUCUGAGCCUGUGCAGGAGCGAUUCAAAUUCCUCAUUUCUACACAGGCUUCAGGACCUGGGUUGGACCUGGGACCCAGGAGAUGGUCCUGGCCCCAGCUCACCACCACCCACUCCUCACCAGUAAUCACUACAUGCUGUGCCCCAGAGCCCCCAAUCCAGACCUGAUUUUGGAGGAGAACCCAGCUUCUUGGCUGCCUUCAAAGCUCUGCUGUAUAGACCCACAGGCCAAGGCUCAAAUGUCUUGGCUGUCACUUGCCAGCUACACUCAGCAUCUGACACCAUGGUCAUCCCUGGAAGUAGCAUGGACUCAGCGGAGAAAACUCCUGCAUGGGUUUCAUCCCUACCUGGGAUGGAAACAAGCCCGAGAGAGUAGAGCCUGACCAUAGUGUCAGCAGGGAGAGUACCAAGUUCCCCUCUGUGACUCACCGGCUCCUAAUGUUUUGCUCAAUGCUGGUUUGGGUGUCUGUCUGUGGGGCAGUGGGCUGCACACAGAUAGCCUGAUCUCCAGUCGAGCAGAGGUCUGGAACCCCUGGGACCCGAUGGGUAGUGAUUUCCACCUACAUGGGAUGGAAGGUGUUCGAUCAUGUUUCCUGGACCCCUGGCUCCUGUUGAA